AGGACGAACGCUGGCGGCGUGCCUAAUACAUGCAAGUCGAACGGUCUUUUCUAUGGAAGCUUGCUUCCACUGAGAAGAUAGUGGCGAACGGGUGAGUAACACGUGGGUAACCUGCCCAUAAGAGGGGGGAUAACAUCCGGAAACGGGUGCUAAUACCGCAUAGUUUUCUUGGUCGCAUGAUCGGGAAAGGAAAGACGGCCUUUGUGCUGUCGCUUAUGGAUGGACCCGCGGCGUAUUAGUUAGUUGGUGAGGUAACGGCUCACCAAGACGAUGAUACGUAGCCGACCUGAGAGGUGAUCGGCCACAUUGGGACUGAGACACGGCCCAAACUCCUACGGGAGGCAGCAGUAGGGAAUCUUCCGCAAUGGACGAAAGUCUGACGGAGCAACGCCGCGUGAGUGAAGAAAGGUUUUCGGAUCGUAAAACUCUGUUGUCAGAGAAGAACAAGUUGGAGAGUAACUGCUCCAGCCUUGACGGUAUCUGACCAGAAAGCCACGGCUAACUACGUGCCAGCCGCUGC
rnacentral:rRNA from 1 species